GGCUCUGUGGCGCAAUGGAUAGCGCAUUGGACUUCUAGUCUUCACUUAGAGAUGUGAUUCAAAGGUUGUGGGUUCGAGUCCCACCAGAGUCG
rnacentral:tRNA from 1 species